CUCUUAUCGAGAGUGGUGGAGGGAACUGGCCCUGAGAAACCCGGCAACCCAAAGGAAACUUCCUUGAAGGUGCUAAAUCCAGCAGGUAUAUCCUGAAAGAUAAGAU
rnacentral:ncRNA from 2 species